AGACUGUUAAAUACAGGCUAGUUUUGUUGAAUGUUUGUAGCCCGAGGCGUUCCAGUGAGAGGCUAACUUAACUACGAUCCCAAAAGUUAGCGAGGAUGCACCGUAAUAAUCAUCAGCUUAAAAGUGUAUUGCAGGUCCUAGAGAUGCUUCUAACAGUCAUGUAUUACACAACAUCAAUGAUAUGGAUGGUUCAUCCAGGAUCCCUUGGAACUCCUAUUUAAUUCAAUCAGAGCGUCACGCGGCUGGAACAACAAUCCAAUUGCACGCCAGUUCCAGGCCAUUUCCACCAUCUGAUGGUUCGCUUUGGUGUCUCACAAAGUGAGACUGGCUGUGUGGCAGCCCAAGAUAACACAGGUUCUCUCUCUGCAGUUGCGAUGUCCUCUGCUGAAACUGCAGAAAAACACCUAUCUCUAUUUGCCAACCUUUCGGCCAUUGUGUGUGACCACAGUUAUUUUCCCAAUCGUGUUGCUGGUCUGGUGGAAAAUUCUCUGGUCUACAUAGAAAGAUCAGUAGUCUGGCAGAUACCAAAGGAGCUGUCCUGUGAUGUCAUUUGGGUAGCGUAGUCAUUUGACAAGAGCUACCACCUUCGAGCCCUGAAAAAAAAAGUGGCCUAGUGAUUCCAUCACAGAGCACAGGGAAAGUUUAAUUCCAUAAUCAUGUUUGUUUUUAAAUCUUUGUGUAUUAAAGUAUCAAUCAAUCAUCCA